rnacentral:rRNA from 1 species
UACGGGGGGGUGCGAGCGUUGUCCGGAAUCACUGGGCGUAAAGGGUGCGUAGGCGGCGCGGUAAGUCGGGUGUGAAAUCUCGGAGCUUAACUCCGAAACUGCAUUCGAUACUGCCGUGCUUGAGGACUGGAGAGGAGACUGGAAUUUACGGUGUAGCGGUGAAAUGCGUAGAUAUCGUAAGGAAGACCAGUGGCGAAGGCGGGUCUCUGGACAGUUCCUGACGCUGAGGCACGAAGGUCAGGGGAGCAAACGGG